rnacentral:rRNA from 1 species
CCUACGGGAGGCAGCAGUGGGGAAUAUUGGACAAUGGGCGAAAGCCUGAUCCAGCAACGCCGCGUGAGGGAUGACGGCCUUCGGGUUGUAAACCUCUUUCAGCGGGGACGAAGCGAAAGUGACGGUACCCGCAGAAGAAGGACCGGCCAACUACGUGCCAGCAGCCGCGGUAAUACGUAGGGUCCGAGCGUUGUCCGGAAUUAUUGGGCGUAAAGGGCUCGUAGGCGGUUUGUUACGUCGGGAGUGAAAACUCAGGGCUCAACCCUGAGCGUGCUUCCGAUACGGGCAGACUAGAGGUAUUCAGGGGAGAACGGAAUUCCUGGUGUAGCGGUGGAAUGCGCAGAUAUCAGGAGGAACACCGGUGGCGAAGGCGGUUCUCUGGGAAUUACCUGACGCUGAGGAGCGAAAGCAUGGGGAGCGAACAGGAUUAGAUACCCUGGUAGUCCAUGCCGUAAACGUUGGGCGCUAGGUGUGGGACCCUUCCACGGGUUCCGUGCCGCAGCUAACGCAUUAAGCGCCCCGCCUGGGGAUACGGCCGCAAGGCUAAAACUCAAAGGAAUUGACGG